rnacentral:lncRNA from 1 species
CUUAUGGUUUGGAUUCAAUCAUGGGUUCUAAAAGAACCCCUUUCAUUCAAAACACAUUUUGAAGCAGUUUCUAAAACUUAUAUAUCUACAUAUAUUUCGUUUGUAUACUUUAUACAAACUUUGCUUCAAGCUUGAGACCAUUGUAGUACAAUACUAACAAUUCAUUCAUAUGAUUAGUACUUCAUCCAUCAUGAAGUUCCAUUUGUUAAAAUGGCUUAUUUUCACUUUGGUUAACAACCUAAGUGAAUGCACGCUUCCAGAGUCCCACUCUGAUGUUUCUUUCUUAAAGGCAAUAAUACUCUAUCAGUUGCUUUGGUUCUGAUCCUGGGAUAUAGUAAUAUCUUAAAGUGAUAAACCCAGUGGUUUCUUCACCUUUGGAUAUCUACUUCACAAGUCAACACAUGUGUCCCUUUUGCGAUUUUAUGACACAUUCAUUAUAAGGGUUAUGAAAGUGAUUUCCUACCACAUAGGAAAAUGCUUUCUUAAAUCUUCAACAUUUGAGAUUUAAUUCCAUAUCAUUAUUGAGAUAGCCUUGCUAUAUCAGUAAGUCCAAUUUCAAGUCUAUACUUCAAAAUUGACCGUGUCAUGUUUUGUCAUUUUUCGAGUAACAUCUAUGUUUCAUCAAGUCUAUCAAAUAGACUUUAUUCACAUCCUGUUGCUCAAAUUAUGACAUCACUCCCACUGGCCUUGUUGUAACUUAGCAUUCAUUCAAAAUUAACAAUUAUAUUUUCUUGAUUUGAAUGCAUAUUGCUCCCACUAACUUGUCUUGGAUCCAUUGAGAAUCAUUGAGAUCCAUUAGCUUAUUGAUGAUGUCUCAACAAUUUUGAGACCAUCAACAACCCUAGCUAACACAAGUUAUUUAAACGAAUCACAUACAAAAGAAUUCCUUCUAAAGUAAUUCCUUUUGAAUAUGUGACUUGUUUUAUCAAGUCUAUUCAUUUAAUUAUACGAUGUCAUACACCAUACUACAAGUUUUAGUCAUACUAAGACCUUUAAUGUAGUCAUAUAAGAAUUUUCUAAGUCUUUAGUGGAAGCAUGGCUCCUACUAAGGAUAUAGAUUCUCAACCAUUCCUUCUAGGUGGUUGAUAUAAUUCUCUAUUAAAACUACAUAGAGCAAUAUCGUUACAUGAGAUGUUGAAUUUGGAUUGUCUUGUUGUUAAACCAUAUGUUGUGACUCAUUUUGAAACUUAUUCCCUUUUGUUUCAUCAACUUGUCCAUAUGCUUUGUUAUUAGCAUGUUCUCAUAAAAGAGAAUGAAGGACAACUCCCAACAUAUAACCAUUUUAUGCUAGGUUGACGAAACCAACAUUCAAAGACUAUUCUUUAAAUGUUACACAACAUAGAAUUUUAACGUUUUGAAGAGCUUGAGUCCUUUUAACAUUUAAAAUUACAAACUCUUAAUAAUAGUCAAGUACUAUUAUUCUUUAGACAACUAUAAACCAAUCACAUUCAAGUUUAUAUCCAUUUUCAUACCUCCCACUAUUUCUCAUGACUUUAAUGAGAAAUCAUUUCAUACAUUCAAAAUGUAUAAAAGUGGAUUAUAUUGGUAGAAGACAUUGUGUAUUAGCUUUGAAACAUUUCAAGCUUAUUUGUUUCAAUCUUCACUAAGGUAAUGUCUUGUUAUUUAAGUGACUAAAGUCUUUAAACCUUUUUUUAUAGAUUUAGACACUUCUUUCUUGGUUUAAUCACUAACACAAUUGACCUUUUAAAACAAUUUUAAGAAUACCCAAUUAAUUGUUCAAAACUACUAAUUGAAUCAAGAGUGAUCUUGAUCAUUGUGUUUAAAGUGAUAACCAUAUAAGAAACAAUUUUCUUAUUACUUAUAUCAUUAUAAUGUGAUCUUCCUUUUCAUCAAGAAAGGAAUCUCUAGACUUUUGUCAAUUCAUAUAGAACUCAUAAGUAGACAAAUGGAACCAAAUCUAAAGAUUCAUUGUAUCCUUUUAUGUUCUACUUGUGAGAUCUAUCCAUAAUUGAUAAAUCUAAAGUUUGGUUUAUCACAUUAAAAUUAAGUGAUAUAACUCUUGUAUCUCAUCUAGGAUACAACAAGACAAUUUUCAAUU